rnacentral:rRNA from 1 species
GCUGGCGGUGCGCCUUAUGCAUGCAAGUCGAGCGAAGCUUUUCAGUAGUUUACUACAGAAAAUGACUGAGCGGCGAACGGGUGAGUAACGCGUGAGCAAUCUACCUUAGUUACAGGGAUAGCCCGAGGAAACUCGGAUUAAUACCUGAUAUUCUUUUUAUCUCGCAUGAGAUUUUAAGGAAAGGUCAGCCGAACUAAGAUGAGCUCGCGUUCUAUCAGCUAGUUGGUGAGGUAAUAGCUCACCAAGGCUACGACGGAUAGCUGGUCUGAGAGGACGAUCAGCCACACUGGGACUGAGACACGGCCCAGACUCCUACGGGAGGCUGCAGCAGGGAAUAUUGCGCAAUGAGCGAAAGCUUGACGCAGCGACACCGCGUGUGGGAUGACGGAUCUAGGUUUGUAAACCACUUUCAGGAGGGAAGAAAAUGACGGUACCUCCACAAGAAGCCCCGGCCAACUACGUGCCAGCAGCCCGCGGUAAUACGUAGGGGGCCGAGCGUUGUCCGGAUUUAUUGGGCGUAAAGAGCUCGUAGGCGGUUCAACAAGUCGGUCGUGAAAGUUCAGGGCUCAACCCUGAAAUGUCGAUCGAUACUGUUGUGACUAGGAUACGGUAGAGGUGAG